rnacentral:lncRNA from 1 species
UAUUUGUCAAAAAGAGAUAGAGAUACAAGAGAUUAGUAAAGUUGAUGAAGAUAAGGACUAUGGCUAUGUCUUAGGUAGUAAUUGAACAAUCAUAAGUAAUAAACACGUGGCUUUCAAAGAAGAUCUUUAUAGAAGGAAGUUAAGAAAUAUUGGCAUCUAUUUGAAUAUCAUAAGAAGACAAAAAUGUUAGUUAGAUACGGCCUUCAAAGACAUUAGAUAUCAAUCUUAUGACUAUAUUCUAAGAAAUAGUUUUUUAUAGAAGAGGCCAAAGAAGAAUUAUGGAGUACCAUUGAAAGUAGUAGAUAAUAUAAAAAUCAAGAACCAAGUUUUCAAAGAGUUUCAUGAUAUAUUUUGAACA